CACCAAGGAGAACAGACUGCUGUUGCCAUGGAGACCGUUGGGCGUUCCAGUUGCCCGGGUGACCGAUCGUCCUCUCCCGGAGUUCCAGAGGCUUCAGUCAAGCCCCUCCCUCGUCGGCCCUGGACCGCCCUGCCCCUACCCCUUCCUGCCCUUCCCCAAGUCAGACCAUAACUCCUUCCCGUAGUUGUGCAGAUGUCCAAGUCCCCUCCCCACACACUAGACUUUCAGGCAAGGCCAUUCACCAUCAGCGCCUGCAGCCGGGGCUCAUUCACAAUCAAGAACCUCCCCUCCCUCAGGACCAACGCUUCCUAUCCUGAGGCCAGAUCCUGACCUAACGACUCGUGACAACCAAGCUAAAGCCCAGAGAUGGAAACAGAUGAGAUCACAGAAGAACCUCAAACCACCAUGGAUGCAGAGGAGCACCUCUCUUCAAAGGACCCCUCUGCUGAAGACUUACAGGAGCCCCCUGUCACUGAAACCCUCUUGGAGCCUACUAUUUCUGAGACCUCUUUAGAUUCCCAUACCACUGAAGAUCUUUUUGUGCCAUCUGCUUCCCAGCCUCCUUUAGAGAUCCAUACCUCUGAAAGCCUUUUGGAGCCUUCCACCUCUGAGACCCCUGUAGAGCCCCAUACCUCUGACUCUCCUUUGGUUCCAUCCACUUCCCAGACCCCUGUAGACCCCCAUACCUCUAAAUCUCCUUUUGUGUCAACCACUUCCCAGACCCCGUUAGAGACCCACACUUCUGAAAGCCUUGUGGAGCCUUCCAUCGCUAGGACUCCUUCAGAACACUCCAAGUCUGAGAUCUCUUUGGAGAACCCUACCUCUAAGACCAUGUUGGAGACUCACAUCUCUAAUACCCCUGAGAAACAUCUUUCUUUUUCUCCCUCAUCAGUAGUCCCUAUGUCUUUUUCUGAUGCUUUGAAAGAAGACUUUGCCUCUGAAUCUUCCACUGUGUUCCCAUGGACAACAAGGUUCACCCAGCUCCCUGAAUCUGAGAGGCUUCCAAAGCACUCCCUCCCAGGCCCUUCAGUCCAGGUCCUUAUGGACACAUCUUCAAAGCAGAAGGAAGAGUCAGGAGAGGACAAGAAGGAGGGCAUGGAUACCAGUGAUGGCACUGCUCACACAGCCCAGCCUGGACACCAGCUGAGCAAGAAGAAGGGAAAGAAAGGUUACACAGUCCACCCAGUGGUCCCUGCUAAACAGGCAGAGCUGGUGGAAGUGGCUAAGGCAAUGCACAGAGAACAGUUUGGUGCCCAGGUGAAAAAUCUUUUCCAAUGGGAGACGGAUGCAGCUCUGAAUGCCAUCCAGACUGGUCUCUACAUUGGCUGGCGUUGCCCCCAUUACCUUUGGGACUGUUUCCGGAUUGGGGAUGAGUCCAAGUGCUUUUGUGGACACUUGUUAAGAGAGCACCAGAUCAUCUCAGACAUAUCGGUGCCCUGCCACGUGUCCCAGUGCCGUUGCCUCAUGUUCUGCUUUAUCCCGUCACGCCCAGAGGAGGUAGGUGAGUUCUGGCUCAGGAGACGGGCCACCUUCGACCCCAAGGCCUGGAGGGCCCAGUGUCGCUGCAAACACAGCCAUGAAGAUCAUUCAGCCACCGGGUGCCAUCCCUGCAGACAUCGCGGCUGUUGCUGCAGCUCUUUUGAAUCUAACUUCCUCUGUGCGGCCUGUGACCGGCGCUGGGAGGAACACGAGACUUUCUUUGAGACCAGGGAGACCCGGCGACGAGGAGGGAGGCCUUACGGUUCGAGGAGCUGCAAGUGUGACUGAUGGGAAUGAAGUAGCCAAGGCCCAGAAGGCAGCUCCUGGGGGAGCAGCCCCAACCGUCUUCUCCCGGAUCCUGGACCGAAGCCUCCCAGCUGACAUUCUAUAUGAGGACCAGCAGCUUCUAGGACACCUACUCCUUGUGGCCAAGAAGACAGCAAAGGCUGAGGGCCUAGGUGAUGGAUACCGACUUGUGAUCAACGAUGGGAAGCUGGGCGCACAAUCUGUGUAUCACCUGCACAUCCACGUACUUGGGGGCCGAC